rnacentral:Y_RNA from 1 species
UGCUGGUCCUAGUGCAUGGUGUCUGCAGUUAAUUAAGCACGACCACUCACAGAUUCAUUUGUUCCUUCUCCACUGCCGCUUCCCUUGACUGGUCUUAA